rnacentral:lncRNA from 1 species
UGAACAAUACGUUGUGGUAAAUUCAAAGUCUGGAGGAGUCUUUGGAGCAUCUAACGAGUCUUUUUGACCAGAGGAAAAGGACCAAUUUGUAGGAGGGAGCUAGCUUUUCAUGAGAGGAGCCAAUACUUUAAAGAAGAGCCAUAGUGAAUCCUGAUUGGAAUAUAUGUACUGUAGCAAUUGUUAGAAUAUUAUUAUAAGACAGAAAGAAAAGGAAAAGAAUUGGAGUACUACACCCUUACAGCGUGUAGAGGUCCAUCUGCGAGAGAAGAUAAGGCCGUGUCCAACAGGGCUUCCUUAGUAAAAGCAUCAUUAAUAGCAAAUAACGUUGCCCCUACUGCUAUGAUAGUGUUCGAAAAUCUCAUCAACCUCCCAUCUGUUAAAAUAAUUUUACAAAGACGAAAAUUUCAAUUAUUUGAUUAUAGAAAAACAUAUUAAAUAAAGGGAUAGUUAAAGAACUAGUACGGGUUACCCUUAGCAACAGCCAAAAUAAUCUGGUCAGCAGUUGUCCCAACAAUUUCUUUUGCUGACUCAUCUAUGCCAGCAAAUGUGUAUAAUUUUGAUAGACAAAAGCUUGCAAAAACAAAUGGUGUCAACGAAGCACCAAGAGUUCGGCCACUCGAUGAACAUCACCACAGAUAUUUCCAUGCUGCCUAACAUACCGGCAAGGCCUAGGGAGUUGAAGUUGUUCCAUAAAACUUCUGCCUCGACGUACC